CACGUAGGGUGCGAGCGUUGUCCGGAAUUAUUGGGCGUAAAGAGCUCGUAGGCGGUGUGUCGCGUCGGCCGUGAAAACCUGCAGCUUAACUGUGGGCUUGCGGUCGAUACGGGCAUCACUGGAGUUCGGCAGGGGAGACUGGAAUUCCUGGUGUAGCGGUGAAAUGCGUAGAUAUCUGGAGGAACACCGGUGGCGAAGGCGGCAUUCUGGACCGAUAUUGACGCUGAGGAGCGAAAGCCAGGGGAGCAAACGGG
rnacentral:rRNA from 1 species